CCCGCCUUUUGUGUUGUGAUGUGUUUGUGUGGUAGCUUAGAAAUGUCCGUGUCCAUAUAUGUGUGAAAAUAAACCUAUGAAAGUUUCAACUCCUGCUUCUUCAUUAAUGGAAUUGUCAUGCACUGACUGAACAUCGUGUUGUACCCUGGACGUGAUACGUUGAAAUUUGGAAAUUGAAAUUUUUUUGGAAAGCGUUUGGAGGAAGCACAGUGAGGAGCUGAAACCAGAGAAUUAUCUGGAUACAGAUCAAAAUGCUCUACAUGGAAACUAAAAAGUAUACGUCAGGUAUACGAAGAGCAUUUCAAAGAAGAUGAUGUAGAAUUUGUCACAAUUUUUAAUAAGAAAUCAUCUGCAGAAACAUUCAGAGUCAAAUUGAAAAAACCAAGACUCCAAAAGGCACAUUUCCUCUCUUUUUCACAGUUGUCCUUCGUAUCUGUCAUCUACGAAAAAAGAUUUUGAAGGACCAGUAGAAAUUAGAAGGAACAACACAUUAAUAAAGCUAUUGCUGAGAAUUUCCUGACAAAAGAGAACUAUGAAAAAGAGUUUUCUGAAUUUUGCUGAAAUAAAUGAAUGUUUCUCAAUUAAUGAAGUUACUACUUUUUGUUCUAAAGUUCAAAAGGAUCAAAAUAAGUUUUUUUA